rnacentral:rRNA from 1 species
GGAUAACUUACCCUUAGGACUGGGAUAACUCUGGGAAACUGGGGAUAAUACCGGAUAUUAGGCUAUGGCUGGAAUGCUUUGCCUUUGGAAUGUUUCUUGUAUUCGCCUAAGGAUAGAUCUGCGGCUGAUUAGGUCGUUGAUGGGGUAAUGGCCCACCAAGCCUAUGAUCGGUACGGGUUGUGAGAGCAAGAGCCCGGAGAUGGAACCUGAGACAAGGUUCCAGACCCUACGGGGUGCAGCAGGCGCGAAACCUCCGCAAUGUACGAAAGUGCGACGGGGGGAUCCCAAGUGUUAUUCUUAAUAGGAUAACUUUUCAUUAGUGUAAAAAGCUUUUAGAAUAAGAGCUGGGCAAGACCGGUGCCAGCCGCCGCGGUAACACCGGCAGCUCUAGUGGUAGCAAUUUUUAUUGGGCCUAAAGCGUCCGUAGC